AUGUCAAUAUCGUCGAUUUUGAUUGUCCCUUCCCGUGGUUCAACGAUCCGGAAAAGUGCUUGGAUAAAAGUUGACUUUCCACUACCACUAUUUGGUGGGCGAUAGUAGUCUACUAUUAGAGGAGCCUCACUAGGUAUCCUUGAGUACUGCAAUAUUCUUUCUACUGAUAUCAUUUUGUUCUCUAUUCUGCUAAUGUUCCAAAUCAUAGACAUCAACUGGUAGUUGAGGUUCAAUGCAUAAGUCACUGCAAGUCCAGCAAUGCCUGCAUGUGCAAUUAUAUUAGUUUGACAAAUUUCUAAACUUAGGACAGAUUAAGGCUUCUUUAGUCACCAAGUUCUUUGCAUAUACAUCUUACUUGGGUUCAAUAAACCUUCAGGAAGGCUGACUAGUAGAGUCAAACAAACUGCAAAGACAAGGUUGGACAGCAUGGCUAGCCUGAGAGAAAGCCACUGCAUGGAAGCCAAGUUAUGGAACCAUGGUCUGGAAUGGUUGUCUAAAAGACCAAGUAGGUGUCGAGUCAAAGAAGGACAUUGGGGCACGCAGGAUGCAGCAGGUCAUAUUCUUGAAGAACUUUUCUGACGUUAGUAAACCAAUAAGUGAUGUGACCAUGAUGAUGGAGGGGAUGCCCAUGCUAUCCAGUAGUUACUUGCUAUCUGAAAUAUUUGGAACAAUAACUGUGCUGCAAUUAUUACUGGAACUAAGGCACCACCAUAAACUGCCCUUAGCUGAUCAUCAGUUUCCUUUUCUGUGUUGAAUUCAUCCUCAAUAUCUGCUAAUUUCUGGUUAUCUGAUGAUGUUCCGUUUGAGUUAUGGGCAUUCAUGACAGAUUCAAGAGCCUGGCUAUGGGCUCCUACCAUUGAUUUGAAUCCUUUGUUCCUUUGAAGGAGCUCAUCAAAUUUCCCUCUCUGCACAAUCUUUCCGCCCUGCAUCACCUGUAAACUUGUAUCCACAUGGUUAGUUACUUGGCAACUUCAACCUUUGGACAUGAGUAGACAAACAAAAAGGAGUUUUAGGCACCACCUACCAAUAUAAGAUCUGCAGCUGGAAGAAAUUCGACUUGGUGGGUCACAUACAGGACUGUUUUGUCUUUAAGGAUUCCCAUGACACAGUCCUGCAAUCCAAUUAUUUAUUUGCUUAGAAUAUGUACUGGUUGCUGUCAACUGUCAUAAAGUCCUAAAUGAUUAACUUAUCAAAUUCACAAUACAUAGUUUAAGUAUAUUUAUGCAGAUUUUGGGACUACAAAACAAACCUUGAAAAUCUUGCUUCCAGUAUGAGCAUCUACUGCACUAAAAGGAUCAUCAAACAGGUACUUUGCCACUCUAUCAGCUGAUACUUUCCCUUGAGCAAACACUGAAAGCAAGUCAGGAAGUGUGAAGAUUGGAUCUUGUAGCAUCCGGAAUGUUGCAAGGGCAGACAAAACACUACCAGUAGUAAGAGGAAUCUCCAUCAAUAUGCAUGAACCAAAAGUUACACAGGAUAUGAAUGCAGGUGCCCCCCAAAAUACUAGUGAUGUCAGAGCUGACAACCUCGAAGAUCUCCAUAGCCACCUGUACUCGUCGUUCCUUAAAGCCUCUAUCUUUUGAAGUUUGAGGCCAUUUAGUUGUCCUGAGUAAUGAAGAAAGGCAAGCCGUGCAACGAAAGAAACAAAGGUGGCUAAAAAAUUUAUAUUUUGCUGGGAAUAUUACGCCUUACCUGAUCAAUCACGGAGCAAACCACCGUGCAGAAUCCUCUUGUUCUCGUGCAGCCUAUGCUUUGGCGUUGCCACUGCGAGCGAGCUGAGCUUGACGGAGAUAGGGAGAGGGAGGGAGGCAGCAGGGGAGCAGAAGUGGAGACCAGAGAUGACCCAUGGCACUUAGUCGAUGACCCAUGGCACUUAGUCAAGUAUAAAUUCAAAUAUAAUGACUCUGCUCACUUCACCUGUGUCAUUGAUUUGUACUUCAUAAUAAAAUAAAGGUGGUCCGUUAAUUGCGAA